rnacentral:lncRNA from 1 species
UCGUACCAUCAGGUAGAAGUCGGGUAGAACCGGUUCUAAUAUUAAUAUAGAAACUCCGAAUAUGAUGGUAGAAAAUCUAUAGACUGUAGCCUAUAUGGCUAUCGUCUGUAAAGGCUCCAAAGUCAGAAAGGUUUUUAUUGACAGAACAGAGUUUGACAGAAGUUACGCGCAAGAAAGUAUAAGGUCAGCAGGACCCCAAACAAGGACAACAUAGGAAACCAAUGUCAAAAAAUUAAAUAAAUAUUAAAUGAUUGACGUUUGGACAGGAAUUAAAAUUAAAACACAAACUUAGUGAUAUUCUCUUCUCCAUGUUUGACAGCCGAUACAUCAAUGAAAUUCUUGCUCCACAAAUUCUAGCUUUCAUGCAAAAAAUUGGAGGUAAGGACUGACUUCAUGAUUUUUGAUCAUCCAGCAAUGAGUCAGGACUUCAAUCUGGGAUCUAUUGGGAAAUGGGAUUUGAAUUGAAUCAUGUGGAAAGCCUAUACGUAGAGCUGCUAAUGAAGAACCAACCAUAUGGAAUGAUAUUGACAUUCCAAGCAGCAACAUUAUUAGGUCUUCACUGUGUCAUCCACCAUUGGAAAACUAAUCAUCAUACGCAAUCGGCAUUAAAAGUUUCUCAAAAUUCAAACUCGAAACAGACUCCAAGCUUCAUUUUCGUUUUUCAAUCACCUCGAUACGAUAAUUAUUAACACUGUAUAAGUAUUUGAAGUUUCACAACUUUUAAAAAGCUUAUCACAAGCCUCAAUUACAGGAACGCAAAAAAAGAUAGAGAAUGCAAGAAGAAAUGAUCGUUUAAUUCAAGAAUCAAUUCAAGAAACACAUUUCUUUAUACGGCUAUCUUUCAUGCAAUAGCUGACAACGGACGUGUAAUAAACCCUUGAAAACGUGUGAUAAAGGAAAAAAGAAGGAAAAAGAAUCACAGUCGAAGAGAGAGGAGUAAACAGGAAACAAGGACUGAGUGGGGAUGCAAAGGAGAAAAGAAAAGUUUAAAGACCUCAAUGACAGGAACGCAAAAGUCAUAGAGAAUGCAAGAAGGAAUAAGCGUUUAAUUUAAGCAUCAAUGCAAGAAACAUUUUUAGCACACUUCUUUAUACAGCAAUCCUUCGUGCAAUAGCAGAUUGAUACGAAUCAAUUUUCUAUAAUCUAUUCAUGUCCAAAAGUCUUGCUUCAUGUGUUAUCGUCGGCUGCGUUAUUAGCGGUGUGUGAUUUGAUCUAUACAAUAUUUUACUUAAAAUCAUUUUUGUAUAUGGUUAUAAUGAAUAAAUUGACACUUCGUAAAGUGAAAAUCAUA